GUAUAGUUACACUCACAAGUGCAGAGCAGUGUCAGGCUCUAUAUAAUCAGCUUCAAGGUUCCAAUACUGGGUAUUGCGAUGGGAACCAAGUUUGCACCAAGUUAUGCCAACCUAUUUAUGUCAUUUUGGGAGUGCUUCUUCAUGAGGACGGGGGUGUCUGGAGUACAAACUUGGUUCUCUUUCAAAGAUACAUACAUUCCACUGUUAUUUAUGCACAUUACACUAUGUAUGGCUAUAUCUAUUAUUUUUUUUAGAUUCCCGAGUGCUGUAUUACUAUCACCUAAAUGUGAACAUCUACCUUGUAACAUACUGUGAAGUCUGUGGGUGUUGUGUAUGAUCGGUAGUGUAACAACUACAAUUUAAUUUAUUUGUUUACCAAUCUGCAAUAAAAUAUGUUGUUUUUUACGAAACGAGGUAAUAGCUUUAUUAUAUACAGAACAUUAAGCAAUUAUACAGCAAUUAGUUUUUAGUGUAAAAGCAGUAAUACACAAUUUUAUAGGUAAUUUAAAAAGUAGCACCUAUGCAGGAUAAAAUUCCUUUU